CUACAAUCCACCUCCUGAAGAUGUGCUGUUAAUCCCUAGGUGUGCCACAGGGCUGCAGAGAGAUCACUGACACAAAGUCAAGAGGACAGACCUCUAAAUAUAAUACCACCUUUUAUAAAAUGAACAGAGCUAAUGCAAGAGUUAGCUGAUGUUUAUAAUCAAGCUUCUGCCAAGAAGGAUAUUUUCAGAAGUCUGAACAACCUGGUGAAGACUGUGUAGUUUUUCAUCCUGAAUUUUUGGUAUUAUGGAUAACAAAGAUUCUGAGCCUGUCUGUGGCUGUUACAAGGAAAUGAACCUGUCAGCUCUUCUGUGGAGGUCUGUUCAUGGAUUAAGCUCCAAUG